rnacentral:lncRNA from 1 species
AAUUGCAUUUGCAGCAGUUUUUCUUUACGGUUGAGCCCCUUUAUAAGAGCCAUGCACGGGGGAGAAAUUCUUGUCUCUUAUAUGAGGUGUCUCUUAUAA